GUUCGGCUGUUCGCUGAUUAAAGUGGUACGGGAGCUGGGUGCAGAACGUCGUGAGACAGUUCGGUCUCUAUCCUAUGCAGGCGCAGGACAAUUGAGAAGGCUCGCUCUUAGUACGAGAGGACCGGAGUGAACUGACCAAUGGUGUACCAGUUGUCACGCCAGUGGCACCGCUGGGUAGCUAUGUCGGGUUGAGAUAAGUGCUGAAAGCAUCUAAGCACGAAACUCGCUUCAAGAUUAAUUGUCCCUUCUUCGGAAAUAAGACUCCAGAAAGAUGAUCUGGUUGAUAGGCUACAGGUGUAAGCAUAGUAAUAUGUUCAGCCAAGUAGUACUAAUAAGUCGAAUGACUUGCCAUUUUU
rnacentral:rRNA from 1 species